UGAGUCUUCUCGUUUAAUGAGGUAAAACAAUUCGUCCCAAAUCUGUCCCGCCAUGAUCUGACACUACAACAAAAAUGGUCUAUAGCGACACUUUUAAAUGUAGGUACAUGUCAAAAAAGUGCUGCUAGCUAAAAUUACCGACACUUUUAAAAAGUGUUGCUAUAUGUGGGGUCGCUAGGUAUAUAGUGACAGUUAAAGAGUGUCGCUAUAAUCUAAAAGAGUGCUGCUAAUUUACCAACAACUUAUUUAAGCAUUUAGCAACCGCCGAAACUCUAUCUCGUUGGCUGCGGUGGCGGAGGAGGACGACAGGAAUGGCUCUUCGUCUAGAAUUUCAGUAGAUUGAGUGAAGAGAGAAAAAAAUAUGGUAAUUGAUUUUUCUUUUUUUUUUCUUUUCUGUUUGUAAUCGGGCCAAAUGGACUGGAUGUGGUGGGUUGAGUAGAGUAAUCUUUUAUUUUUGGUUGGAUUGAGAUUUAUAUUUAGGCAUUAGUAGAUGUUUCUUUAAGUUUUAGUAUAAAUGGGACACUUACUCAAAAGUGUCCCAAACAUGUGUCCCUAUAACCUAAUUCUGUUGUAGUGUGAUCUGAAUCCGCCUCAAAAAUAUGUAUAUUUUUAAAAAGAAUUAAUUGCAUACAGCUCCCUAUAAACAUAUCGAAUAGCGGAUAUAUCCAUACAAAGUUUAACUUUUCAUAUUUAUCUUCCAAUCUGUUCCAAAUGAGACAGAGACAACAAAUA
rnacentral:lncRNA from 1 species